rnacentral:sRNA from 1 species
UCGGAUUCAAUCCAUUUCGUUUAUUUUGCAAACGGCGAAGGUGCCCCGUUACAUUCCUCCAGCCAUCAUCACACGUAUCUAUACUUCCUUGAGGAAGUUAACUUAAUUUUUAACCUGGCAUAUCAACCAGGGCGGUUUAAUGGGAGCUUUCAUUUCUCUAUCGUGGACCAUGCCAGAGUCAAGCGCCAAACAGACUGGUCACCCUCACCCGCCCAGCCAGAAUUUUUCAACAUCCGUACGUUGGCCCCGUAUGACGGUGUGGCAGGACUCUCGUCAGAUGAAAAUGCUACUGCAGAAAAAACAUGCUUCAAGCGAUACCGAUGUUCAGUCGCGAACGUGAUCUUCUAAGGCUGUCAAUCCGCUUUAAAGAGCCAACCUCCCGCAUUCUAUUUAUUUCCUUAUUGAGAGGAACGGUUUAUUGUUGGAACUCCGAAAGACCCGAAAAGGCUAUAGCUCUAGUGCCCCUCUCCCUUCUUUUUGCUUUAGCCGUUUUGAUUUUGAUUGAAAAUGCUUAGAUUUUAUUUGUUACUUCUUACAGUAUCUUCUUCUGCCUUCUCGGGUAACUGUGAAUAUGCUUGAAAUGUGAAGACGCCUCGAACGACGAUUGUUUUCGGAGCAACGAGAUGUAUGAUGGAAAAUGGGGCAGCAGGGCUGUCGGCGGCAAUACCGGCAGUUUUAACGGUUAAUCAAAUGGUUCGCAAUUAUUUUAAUUGUAGGAGUCGUUAUCAUUAGCGGCUAUUCACUCGGUGCAAGAGAAGCAAGUCUUUUAUAGCCCGCGUCCCUAGCCGCGUUUUUGACAGCGUCUAGUUCGUUAUCAUUGAUCGCACGAUUUAUUUCCGCAUACCGAAUCUCUUGGCCACCAGUUUUUCCUCGUCGCUUCUUGCCAACGUGAGCAUCGGGAUGAUACUGCUCCAUAAUAUGAAUAUAUAAAUCCUUCGAUACAUUCUCAGCCAGCCAACGCACGAUCUCCCGCCCUUCGUCUUCCAUCCCUGGCAUUACUAGAUGUCGAAGGAGCACCCCACGUUUCGCAAUACCGUCAGAGGUGAAACUCAAAUCUCCAACUUGUGCAUGCAUCGCUUUGAUGCUCUCCAUCGCCGUUUCAGUAUAGUUAUCUGCCUUCAAGAGCCGCUUGGAAGAACUGGUCUUCCAGACUUUGAAAUCUGGAAGGUAUAUAUCGAUGAGACCGUCUAGUAGAGCUAUGGAUUCUAAAGAGUCAAAUGCAGACGUAUUGUAUAUGAUAGGUAUUUUGAGACCCAUGUCCGCAGCGGUGAGGAUCGCCAGGGCCACCUGCGGAACUACAUGUUCUGGGGUGACAAAGUUUAUGUUGUGGACCUGCCCUACGUUCUGUAAUUUUAACAUCCACUCUGCCAACUCCUCCGGUGUUAGAUUAAAUCCAUUACGUUGGUGUGAAAUGUCCUGUGGUAUGUGUAUCGUCAGCCAACGUUCAACGUGUCCGGCGAGCGGGAUCAAGCCUCCAGAAAGGAAUAUACAACGAACGUGGUUUUGACAAAAUGUGCAUCUCAAGUUGCACAUCGAGAAGAACACUGAGCCGCUCCCUCUUGACCCCUGGAUGCAUGGCUCUUCUCCGAAAUGCGGCGCAAUCACAUUGACUUUCACAGUCUCUCCAGGUAUUAGACAAUAACCUGUCUUUUCGUACCGGUUUACUCCGCAUAGUCGGGGGCACAAAUUGCAGUUCCUCAAAUGGGAAUAUGCCUUAGAGCGCUUCUUUGCUGCAUCCACAGAUGAUAAAAGUUGAUGCUGUGGUAUAUAUUCAUCAAGGAGAUAAGGGGGUGAGAGAUGCACUGAGCGGCUUUGGCAAGCACGGCUG